UACAGAGGGUGCGAGCGUUAAUCGGAAUUACUGGGCGUAAAGCGCGCGUAGGCGGCUUUGCAAGUCGGGUGUGAAAGCCCCGGGCUCAACCUGGGAAUUGCAUUCGAGACUGCAUGGCUAGGGUGCGGAAGAGGGAAGCGGAAUUUCCGGUGUAGCGGUGAAAUGCGUAGAUAUCGGAAAGGAACAUCAGUGGCGAAAAGCGGCUUCCGUGGUCCCAGCACCGACGU
rnacentral:rRNA from 1 species